UGCCAGCAGCCGCGGUAAUACAUAGGGUGCAAGCGUUAAUCGGAAUUACUGGGCGUAAAGCGUUCGCAGGCUGUUUUACAAGUCAGAUGUGAAAUCCCCGAGCUCAACUUGGGAGCUGCGUUUGAAACUGUAAGACUAGAGUGUGUCAGAGGGGAGUAGAAUUCCACGUGUAGCAGUGAAAUGCGUAGAUUUGGAGGAAUACCAAUGGCGAAGGCAGCCCCCUGGAUAACACUGACGCUCAUGCACGAAAGCGUGGGGAGCAAACAGGAUUAGAUA
rnacentral:rRNA from 1 species